rnacentral:rRNA from 1 species
CACUCCUACGGGAGGCAGCAGUGAGGAAUAUUGGACAAUGGGUGGAAGCCUGAUCCAGCCAUCCCGCGUGCAGGAAGACGGCCCUAUGGGUUGUAAACUGCUUUUAUCUGGGGAUAAACCUACUUACGUGUAAGUAGCUGAAGGUACCAGAAGAAUAAGCACCGGCUAACUCCGUGCCAGCAGCCGCGGUAAUACGGAGGGUGCAAGCGUUAUCCGGAUUUAUUGGGUUUAAAGGGUCCGUAGGCGGACUGAUAAGUCAGUGGUGAAAUCCGACAGCUUAACUGUCGAACUGCCAUUGAUACUGUUAGUCUUGAGUAAGGUUGAAGUGGCCGGAAUAAGUAGUGUAGCGGUGAAAUGCAUAGAUAUUACUUAGAACACCAAUUGCGAAGGCAGGUCACUAAGUCUUAACUGACGCUGAUGGACGAAAGCGUGGGGAGCGAACAGGAUUAGAAACCCCUGUAGUCCC